CCGUGAUGGUGACUGCGGAGGAUCAUUAUCGAGUUUUGAACGGGUUGUAGCUGGCCUUUCACAAGGCAUGUGCACGCUCGGCUCAUUCCACUCUUCAACCUCUGUGCACUCUUUGUAAGAAAUGACCGGGACGCUGGCGCAAGUCAGUUGAAAAGUCUUUCUUAUGUUUUAUUACACACGCUUCAGUUAUAGAAUGUUUACUUGCGAUAACGCAUUUAUAUACAACUUUCAGCAACGGAUCUCUUGGCUCUCGCAUCGAUGAAGAACGCAGCGAAAUGCGAUAAGUAAUGUGAAUUGCAGAAUUCAGUGAAUCAUCGAAUCUUUGAACGCACCUUGCGCUCCUUGGUAUUCCGAGGAGCAUGCCUGUUUGAGUAUCAUGGAAUUCUCAACUCCCAAAUUUUUUUUAAUCGAAAGUUUGGUGAGCUUGGACUUGGAGGUCGUGUCGGCUCCUUCGGGAGUGGACUCCUCUGAAAUUUAUUAGUGUGAAUCUUACUGAUCGCCUUCAGUGUGAUAAUUGUCUACGCUGUGGUCGAGAAGUAUUUUUAUAUUCAUGCUUACAACCGUCUCUUGACUGAGACAAUUUUUUAUGACUUCUGAUCUCAAAUCAGGUAGGACUACCCGCUGAACUUAAGCAUAUCAAAAACGGGAAGGAAAUUU
rnacentral:rRNA from 1 species